GCCCAGUGCAGAAGAAUGGUGAUGCAUGUGAGAUCUUCCCUGGUGGUUCUGUGGCUUCAUUUCUGCUGUAAGUUAAUGAAGAAUUUUAGCCUGGUUGACACAGUGUGAGUGGAGAAAGCCAAGUGGAACAGAGUCCUCCAGCCCUGGUGGUCCUGGAGGGAGAGAAUUGCACAUUUCAAUGCAAUUAUACAGUGAGCCCCGUUAACAACCUAAGGUGGUACACACAGGACCCUGGGAGAGGUCCUGUUCCCCUGAUCACCAUGACUAACAGUGACAACAAAAAGUCAAAUGGACGGUACACAGCGACUAUGGAUGCAACUGCCAAGCACAGCUCCCUGCACCUCACCGCUGCCCAGCUCGGCGACCCAGCCUUCUACAUCUGUGUGGUGGGCGCACCGUGCUCCCCAGGCACUCGCACUCUGUACCCAAACCUGCACCUGGAGGUUGUCAAGGAGCAGUUUUUGAAAUGUUGUGUGUAAUUUCAAAGUGAGCUAGCGCUUCUCUUUCAGACAUGGCUGAACUUGAACUUGAGUCUAGGUAUCUACUAACAUAGAGGUAUCCUCACUCAACACAGAAAGUUAACUGCUCACCUGGUUAUUCCCAAGGGCAUUAUGCACAGAAAAUGACAAUACCUUCCUUCUUGUAUAACUUAAUGUAGAUUAUAAGAAGAAUCCAUACAAGAUUUAAGAAGCAGGGUCCGGAUGUAAGAUAAUUAUGCUGAGCUACAGUGUCAAUAACUAAAUUCAUAUAUAUCAGCUCACUGAGCAGGUUUUUGCACUGACAGGAAAGAAAAGAAUCUUACGAGGUUUUCCUCAGGGAGGGUUGAUUUUAGUUAUUCAAUUUUUAUAACUUGUACAUGGUAGAUUGCUGGGGUCCAGCCUCAGCAGGAUCCAGCGGUACCCUCAGGAUGAACGGCAUCGGCGAGAAAAAGAGAGAGAGAGAGAGACCAGACUGGGGGUGUGUAGUAGAGUCUGGCAAAUCUUUUUUUUUUUUUUUUUUACUGUAGCUUUUAUAUUCCAAGUUAGUACAUUUUUAAGGGGAAGAUAGUUUAAUAUUACAUCAGCUUAUCCUACACGAAACCAGGGUGUUUUCUGUAUACUUCUUUGUGAGAGUCUUGUACAUUAUCUUCUGGCCUUGGGAACUAUUGACAUUUUAUGACCUAGGUGAAUGCAAAGCUGUUUUCUGUAAUCUAUUCUUUGUUGAACACAAAGGUCAGUCCUUUUGCAGAAGUUAUCAGUUAAAUUUAUCUAAAAGGUUUACCACACAAAGACUCUGCAGCUUCGGCGAGGCAGCCCCUGUUUAGCAUUCCUGGUUAAAAUUAACAAUUCUAAACUGUUAUUUUUCUAAAUCUUUAACUAUAACCGCUUUUAGAAUAAUAUUUUAUGUCCUCUAAUAGGGCUUCCUCACCCCCGAAGGGCUCUGUGCUUAUUAGGGCCUUUUGUGUGAUCAGGUUCUUUAUGCUGUUCAUGAUUAAGGUGUUGUGAGCAGUCAUGUGCAUUAGUACACAUUUGCCAAGCAGGCUAGAAUGCCAGCAAAGGGGUCUAAACUGAAACACUCCUUUCAUCCUGAAUAAUCUUAUAGGAUACCACCGUCCGGGGGACAUAUUGAUUAAAGUUCUAAGUUGAUUCUGCUUGGAAAGAGAUCAGGGAAGGCCUUCUACCUGUGUCACAGAAAUUAGGGAGUAGUCUAAUAUAGUAAGCAUCAGAAAGACAGAGAUCAUCCUUAAGGUGAGCGCUGGGGCAGCUUUUUGAAAUCCCUGAAGUCCUGAUCUGCCUUGCUUGUCAGGUCUUCUCCUCAUGACCUUGUCAUGGGUGGGAUCUCGUGUGCUGGCUCCCGGCAGUAGAUGCUCAAGAAUUUUAUUUAAGUAGAAAGGGAAGAGAAAAAUCUAGGAGAUAAAUAGUAGGUGUAUCUCUCCGACUACUCUGCAAGUCCUCUGCACUUGAUCUUGAUGUGGUCCUCUCUCCAUGUUACCCCUUCAGAGAUCAGAAGAUGCUGGGGGUGAGCAGCCCAUAUACAUUGGACCAGAGACCUUUAUUCCUGAGUAUCCAGGAGAGAACACAUGCCGAUCUUAAUUGUACUUAUCAAAAGAAAACAUUUUACAACUUUGUCUGGUUCAAGCAGGAGCCUGGGGAAGGACUUGUAUCUUUGUCUUUAAUUCAAUCAAGCCAGAAAGAGCAGGCAGACAAAAAUUUUAAAGAACUCCUGGGAAAAGAGAAGUUUUACAGUGUUUUGCGUAUCUCAGCCUCCCACCCUGGAGACUCAGCUGCCUACUUUUGUGCUUUGCAUCACAGUGCUCUCCAAGCACCUGCAGCCUGUCCCACAACUGCCAGCUGGGCCUCUUGACAGGGGUCUAGCCUUGGGGUGGGAAUGAAGGUGUUUCCUUUAUCCACAGAGGGAGUUUUCUUAAAGUCUCUGUCUCCAAACAGAAAUCAAAGAUAAUCUAUCCCUCCCUUAUGUGAUCAAUCUGAAUUUAUAUUGAAUUAAAUUUCCAUUUGUUACUAUUGAAAGUUCAUUCCUCAGUGAAAAUUGUACUCAUUCUGGGCCUGUUUGCCGAGAUUUCUUUUCACCGUCUACCCUUCAGGUGAGAGGGCAGGCCCCUUUGUGCUCAGAAUCCAGUUCAGAAAGCAAGUUUUCACCAUGCUGUACCCUCACCAGUAGUGUCAUACUCAUUGGUUCAUAGUCUUGGUGAUUUUUUUAAUAUCUGUGUACCACUUAUACAAUUAUUUACUAAUUU